GAUUUUUCUGUGUUGGUGUGAUGUACUCAGGUGAAUCACAAGCAUCAUUUUCACCUGAGUGCAGUACACCAACACAGAAAAAAUCAAAACAUAGU